UCAAGCCAACAAGUGGCUAACUUGGAUAUAAUUCACUCGAUCUCGAGUCCACAAUAAUGUCAGUUUCCAAACUGCGUUCCGCAUUCAGACACUUGAUUGAAUGCGUUAACUUUUCCUAUAUGGUAGUAGAGCGCCUUGUAGGAACGUUGUCUCUUUAUGCCACACAGGUAGCACAAUUAUGUCACCUUCUAUUGCCAGGAGCAGAUGCUGUCUACAACAAGUAGACUUUGCGAUCCCAAAUGGGGAGUACAAGGUCUGGGGAGUCAAUUCAACCCCAAAACUAAAUAUGCAGCAUGGCAACAAUCCAUCUGCACCGAAGAGCGGAGAAACAUAAGGAUUCACCACCUGCAGCACGGCAACAAUCCCACCCUACAAAGGGUUGAGGGAGCAGAUCUCAAGCUAAGCAAGAAUAUCAACCAUCAACUAAAACCUUCGACGGAAGCUAAGCAUGUAUGCAGUCUCAACAAUAAUGAGUCAUGAGGGCAUUUUUUCCAUUGUAAAGUCUAAUGAGCUCGAAGGAGAUUCGAACUUCAUAACUUGAAAGAUUUGAAUGCGCAUAGCCUUCAUUAGUAAAGGAAUAUGAUAUGUCGUUGACAAGCGAAUCCAGACUAGUGCGCCUCACCAAGAUAGCUCAAAAGUUGUUGAUGCUACUCCUUCGAUGCCAUCAGACGUAGUCAAACAAGAUAAGUUGAAAGUCCUUUCCAUGCUAUUCAAUUCGGUUAAAGACAAUGUAAUCUAUCAUAUCGCUUUAAAAAUGGACCCUGCCGACUGCUGCCAUACCUUCUAUGAGCUCUAUGAGAGCAAAAAUAUGGCACAGACUAUGUACUUGUUUGACCAAUUACAGUCUUUACGGCUCGAGGAGUUACAAUCGAUGACAGACUAUAUCCGCUGCACAAGGGAGCUGACCUCACAACUCCAAGACAUUGGCGAGACCCUCUCAAAGGACCGCAUAGUGCACACUAUGCUUAAUGGCUUACCAUCUAAUUACAAAGCCUUCAUCUAAGGUCUUAUGGGCCAAAAUAACCUACCGUCGUUUGAAAAACUCUCCAGCAGUCUGUUGAUUGAAGAAAAAUGUCGCACCAUAAGGCCCUGCUAGCAUGGAGAGGCCAUGAUGUUCUACGGCAAAGGAGGGCACUUGCAACGGCGAUACAGCACUAGAUCAGAAUCAUCGCGAGUGCACUACAACUCGAACUCACUAGAUUCAAGCAACUCUAGUAACAAAUCCCGACCCAAAAGAAAUGGUUGAUGUAAUAAUUGUGGAGAAUGAAGACACUAGGCACGAGAGUGUCCCCGCCCCCAGCAUUAGAGAAAACCGCCACAUCAAAAACCAAUGGCGUUUUUUGCAUUGACAACAGACAAUAAGAAUAAGCACAAAGAAACACUUGAAGAAGAAGAAGAAGAAAUCCAAUUUUUUAACGUAUCUAUGCUUGCACUCAAUUUUGACAAGGAUAACUAGGCUUGAUACCUCAAUAGCGGCGCUUCAGUUCACGUGACAGGUAACUUGUCUCAUUUCCCAAACUUCACAACACUCUAUACAGCAACUAGUGUGCAUUUAAUCACACGAAACACACAUGAGGUAUACGAAGAAGGUAGCAUAAUGCUACAUCACGCAUGCGAAGUACAACAAGUCCAAAACACACUACACGUUCUAGGGACUAAAAAGAACUUAUUGAGCGUAGGGAUGUUAGCCGACAAAGGCUGCAUCGUUCUCUUCACCAACAAUGGCUUUUGGAUUCUAACAAACACAUUCCCAGCAAGGAUUAUAGCGGAGGGAGUGCGAGACAAAAUCAAUGGUCUCUACAGACUCACUCCAAUUGGCCGCACCUCACAACAUAUCCUGACGCUUCCACAGCAUCCAUUGAUUAUACAAGCACUAUCACUUUUCUUAUCAGCAGAAGCCGAAUUGUGGCACAAAUGAAUGGGCCAUAAAAACUACCGCACCUUUCACAACCUCUCCAAUUCAAUGAGCAUACGGGGCUUUUCUUACCUGGCAACAAUACACACAUUUUGCAAAG
rnacentral:lncRNA from 1 species